ensembl:lncRNA
CUGGCCUGGAGAUGUGGCCGCGGCGGAGAGGUGGACACAGCCUGGGAGGCUGCUGGACCGGUGCGCGUGGUAUGGCGGGCUCUUAUUGCAUGUCCAGGGCCAUGUCAGGUGCGCUCUGUCCUGUUGCUUCUGUGGAUUGCAGAGGGUCUGCGACCGGUCCAGGCGGGUUACGGUAUGCGCCCAAUGACCAGUUCGGAGGAGCCGUAUCUGGAGAACAAGCCUGGCUUUCGUUUGGCCAGCCUUGCAUUGCUCCAGCUCUCCAGUACUCUUCCUUGUAUAUGCGAGCGGAGGAUCAUACAAGUUUUGCUUCUCGUCUCAACAUCACUCCACAGUUUGAACGGACAAUCAUUUCGACCCACGUUAUCAUCUUCCAUCGGUGCAUAAAUGACUUUAAGUUUAAACCUAUGGGCACGAGAGUCGCUAUUGUAAAUAAGCGCCGACAGUCCUCAUCAAGACUCUUACUCUCUGUUCUCUCUGUUCUUUUAUUCAUUGGAAAUAUUGAACUUAACACUGGUCCUGGCAAAAAUGCCUUUAUGUCCACCUUUCUAUAUUUCCUGGGAUUUUAUACUUAUGUUUUAAAUAACACUCUGGGCCUGGGUUUAUAUGCAGGUGUCCCACACAUGGACCUAUCUCAACUGCAGUGCACUCAACAACCUGUAGGCAUAACGACUAUACCUCAGUUGCUAUUUAAAUCUCUUGUUAUUCCAGGCUUUAAUUCUAAACCUGUUAAAGCACAAAAAAGACCAUCAAGUCUAAGGAAAAAUCCAGUUACCUUAUGCCAGCUUGGUAGAAUUAGAGGUUUCAAAAUUUGUCAUCUAAACAUGAGAAGCCUUGUUUCCAAACUGGAUGAAUUUAAAAUCAUGGUUGCUCAAACUAAGGCUCAUGUCAUGGCAAUAUCUGAAUCAUGGCUGACCCCUGCUAUAUCAGAUUCCUUUCUUGCGAUUGAAAAUUAUUCAUUAUAUCGCAGAGACAGGACUGAUAAAAUUGGUGGUGGUGUUGCUCUUUAUGCGAAUAAAAAAUAUGCACAUUCUAUAGUAAAAUUCCAGUGUUUUGUGACCUUAGGGAGCGUGAUGGAUUGUAGCGUGGUAGAAGACUAGUUAGGUACGCAGGAACUAAACCAUUAAGGGCCUUAUAGGUAAGUAAUAAUAUUUUGUAACUGACAUGGAACUUAAAGGGGUGGUAAAACAAUAUUAUAGAUAUUUUGUAAAGUAUAUGUAUUUAAGCAGUUUGGUUCGAAACCUGGAUGCUCAAACAUACAUGUAGGAGGGUCUGGAACCUCCAUCAUUCAUUUUACAACCUAAACAGAAUGUAAGACAAUGAGUAUAUACUGUACAAUUAAAGUAAACAAUUAGUUGAAGUGACUCGGAAACUGUUGAACGUAUAGUAAAUUUUAGACUGAGAGACCAUUUAAAGGUC